CCUACGGGAGGCAGCAGUGGGGAAUUUUGGACAAUGGGCGCAAGCCUGAUCCAGCCAUGCCGCGUGAGUGAAGAAGGCCUUCGGGUUGUAAAGCUCUUUCGGCGGGGAAGAAAUGGUUUCGGUUAAUUGCCGGAAGCUGAUGACGGUACCCGCAUAAGAAGCACCGNAU
rnacentral:rRNA from 1 species